GGUUGAUCCCGCCGGAGGUCACUGCUAUUGGGAUUCGACUAAGCCAUGCGAGUCGAGAGGGUUCGGCCCUCGGCUGACGGCUCAGUAACACGUGGAUAAUCUACCCUAAGGUGGAGGAUAACCUCGGGAAACUGAGAAUAAUACUCCAUAAGUCUAGGAUACUGGAAUGUACUUAGGCUGAAAACUUCGGUGCCCUAGGAUGAGUCUGCGGACUAUCAGGUUGUAGUCAGGGUAAAGACCUGACUAGCCUACAACGGAUACGGGUUGUGAGAGCAAUAACCCGGAGAUGAUAUCUGAGACACGAUAUCAGGCCCUACGGGGCGCAGCAGGCGCGAAAACUUCACACUGCGCGAAAGCGCGAUGAGGGAAUCCCAAGUGCUUGCACGUAAGUGUAAGCUGU
rnacentral:rRNA from 1 species